rnacentral:rRNA from 1 species
GGCUUAACACAUGCAAGUCGAGGGGCAGCAUGGUCCUUUCUUGCUAAGGCCGAUGGCGACCGGCGCACGGGUGAGUAACACGUAUCCAACCUGCCGUCUACUCUUGGACAGCCUUCUGAAAGGAAGAUUAAUACAAGAUGGCAUCAUGAGUCCGCAUGUUCACAUGAUUAAAGGUAUUCCGGUAGACGAUGGGGAUGCGUUCCAUUAGAUAGUAGGCGGGGUAACGGCCCACCUAGUCUUCGAUGGAUAGGGGUUCUGAGAGGAAGGUCCCCCACAUUGGAACUGAGACACGGUCCAAACUCCUACGGGAGGCAGCAGUGAGGAAUAUUGGUCAAUGGGCGAGAGCCUGAACCAGCCAAGUAGCGUGAAGGAUGACUGCCCUAUGGGUUGUAAACUUCUUUUAUAAAGGAAUAAAGUCGGGUAUGGAUACCCGUUUGCAUGUACUUUAUGAAUAAGGAUCGGCUAACUCCGUGCCAGCAGCCGCGGUAAUACGGAGGAUCCGAGCGUUAUCCGGAUUUAUUGGGUUUAAAGGGAGCGUAGAUGGAUGUUUAAGUCAGUUGUGAAAGUUUGCGGCUCAACCGUAAAAUUGCAGUUGAUACUGGAUAUCUUGAGUGCAGUUGAGGCAGGCGGAAUUCGUGGUGUAGCGGUGAAAUGCUUAGAUAUCACGAAGAACUCCGAUUGCGAAGGCAGCCUGCUAAGCUGCAACUGACAUUGAGGCUCGAAAGUGUGGGUAUCAAACAGGAUUAGAUACCCUGGUAGUCCACACGGUAAACGAUGAAUACUCGCUGUUUGCGAUAUACAGCAAGCGGCCAAGCGAAAGCGUUAAGUAUUCCACCUGGGGAGUACGCCGGCAACGGUGAAACUCAAAGGAAUUGACGGGGGCCCGCACAAGCGGAGGAACAUGUGGUUUAAUUCGAUGAUACGCGAGGAACCUUACCCGGGCUUAAAUUGCAGAUGAAUUACGGUGAAAGCCGUAAGCCGCAAGGCAUCUGUGAAGGUGCUGCAUGGUUGUCGUCAGCUCGUGCCGUGAGGUGUCGGCUUAAGUGCCAUAACGAGCGCAACCCUUGUUGUCAGUUACUAACAGGUUCCGCUGAGGACUCUGACAAGACUGCCAUCGUAAGAUGUGAGGAAGGUGGGGAUGACGUCAAAUCAGCACGGCCCUUACGUCCGGGGCUACACACGUGUUACAAUGGGGGGUACAGAGGGCCGCUACCACGCGAGUGGAUGCCAAUCCCAAAAACCUCUCUCAGUUCGGACUGGAGUCUGCAACCCGACUCCACGAAGCUGGAUUCGCUAGUAAUCGCGCAUCAGCCACGGCGCGGUGAAUACGUUCCCGGGCCUUGUACACACCGCCCGUCAAGCCAUGGGAGCCGGGGGUACCUGAAGUGCGUAACCGCGAGGAGCGCCCUAGGGUAAAACUGGUGACUGGGGCUAA